UUAUCCUCUCAGAAAGUAUACCCUUUUCAUAUAAAAUUUCAUUUCCUUUUGGAUUUUUAAUGAUAGUUACCUUUUAUUAGAUUCUGGCGCGCAAAGUUGUCUGUACUGUUUUUCUUUUUGUUUAAACACACUUAGCUAACAAGCAUGAGUUCUGUGUUUUGUAUGUAAUGCUUUUUGUAAAAACAUUUCUGUGUCUGGCUAUUCCUCUGUUGUGUGUUUCUGUUUUCUUUUCUGGCAACAAUAUGCUUGUUGUCUACAUAGGGAGGUGUAAGUUGGGAUCCUUACAAUUCAUUUUAAAGGCUAUCCAUAUUUGGAGCACUGUUAUAUGGAGCAAAUUCUUUCUGGAUCUUAAUAACAGUUAUACAGGUGUAGGGAUGGGGCACACCCUACAUUUCUGAUUGCAUUCUGUAUGUUGAUUUGAUUCUUUCUUCAUCUUCAGUCUCUCUGGCUGUCGAUUGAAAUUUUGCAUUAUAGAAUUAAUCGGAUGAGACCGAGUCUUGAUAUUGAAAAUAUUUAUGGAUUAUUGGUCAUUAUUACCUCGGUAUCUUAUAAGAAUUGGGUGCUUCAUAUAUAGCAUCUAUAAAAAUCUGUGGCUUGUAGCUAUUGCCCCAUGUAAGUUAAAUGGGGAACCAGGAUUCAUGUAAUUCAAAUGGCUAUUUGGCUGUGGAUCUUCUGUUAUGAGCAGUUUUUCUGUUUGCUUCUGCUUUUGGAGGUCGUUUGCUGGCUGUUUUGGAGGAAAAAUGAAGGUGUUUAACAGUUGUCUUCUUUUCCUUAUCAUAAUGUGGUAAUAGACUAAUAGUUGCUUUAUAAGAACACGUUUCUUAUCUUUAUGAUGUUAACACAUUAGAAUUGCCAAGAAGGUGUUUAUUUCUUCACCACAAAAAUGAUGCAUUAGUUAUGAUUUUGACAUGUGGCAUUUAGUUGUGUUCACUUGGCUAAAGGAAAUUCCAAACACUGUUUUAGUUUAUUUUUUCAUUUUCCAGAUAGUUUUUUCCUCCAAUUCCAAAGAUCCCGCAUGGCUACGUUUCACAGCUUAGCUGCACUACUUGAGCUGAAUUAGGUGUGCAUUAUCUCUCAGACAUGUCAGUGGUCAAAAUAUCUCAUUAAGUACUACACUGGUAAACUCUAUUCUUCAAUGCUUGCAUUCAAUUUUAGGACUCAGUUGUUAAUUUUCCAUACUGUUUCGUUGUGACAGGGCCAUUGUCAGUUGCAGUUUUAAGAUCUAGUUAGUAGCUUUGGAUUGGAACAUUUUCUAUUUACCACACAGUUAAUUUACUUUUGACACAUCAGAGGUUCCAUGAAGAAUUGUGCGCCCGCGUGCAUGCAAGUGUUGUGUUUCUAGGAAAUUUUAUGCAACUCUCAUUAAAUUUUAUGCAUAGACGAUGGAUCAUUUAAUUUAAAAAAGAGACUAAAUAAUAGCGAAAAUAGUCUCAAUUGGAUGUCUGAUCCUUCCAAAGAGAGGGAAUUUCAUUUAUGCCAAAUCCUUGAUUUUGAUCAGUCAAUCAAUCAAUGCCUUACCACAUUUGUUUUGUCAUUUUUUUCAUGGUUUUUGCUUGUUUAUCUGGCUUUGGAGAUGCAAAGGACAAUAGCAAAUUAAACUGAUCAGAUGCAGAAGUAUAGAGAUGACAAGAUCAAAGAUAGAAAGACGACUACUGGUGAAGAAUAACGAAGAAGUCCAGAGUUUUUGGAGAGAUUUGCUAAGUAGGUUUAUAUGUUAGUUUUUGCAUGCAGGCCAGGCUCCAAGCUUCUCUCCUUGAGUGGUUUUAUGUGUUUGAUCUACGUCCGAAGGCGUUCAGCAGAGGCCAAUCUUGCCAACUUUCUAGUUUGGCAAUUGUUUUAAGCGGUGGCUGUAGAUUUCGAGCCAUGAACACGUUUCUUUUUCCGGGUGGUGUUUAUGGCGGGGCAGCUCAAUGUGCUCCCCAAUGGCCAGGAUGCCUUAGGCACACUUUCCCCAACGACAUUCUUCUUUGGGCCAUUUUAUGUGAAUGGAAUUGCAAAUCAUUUUCAGUGAAUGAAACACUGUUAGGUUUGCUUGCUGUUUUGCCACAAUCCUCAUUCAAACACGCGCAUUGGAUUGAAUUCAUGUCCUUGUCAACCCUUUUUGAGUAGGCUUUGAUCAUAGCCAGCGAAAACUGUGAUUCACUAUGUAAAUCUUCUGUUUUCUUUAUUUUUAAUAAUUUGACUUUCACUGAUUUUGAA